UUAACACAUGCAAGUCGAACGAUGAAGCCUUUCGGGGUGGAUUAGUGGCGAACGGGUGAGUAACACGUGGGCAAUCUGCCCUUCACUCUGGGACAAGCCCUGGAAACGGGGUCUAAUACCGGAUAACACUUCGUUCCGCAUGGAUCGGGGUUGAAAGCUCCGGCGGUGAAGGAUGAGCCCGCGGCCUAUCAGCUUGUUGGUGGGGUAAUGGCCUACCAAGGCGACGACGGGUAGCCGGCCUGAGAGGGCGACCGGCCACACUGGGACUGAGACACGGCCCAGACUCCUACGGGAGGCAGCAGUGGGGAAUAUUGCACAAUGGGCGAAAGCCUGAUGCAGCGACGCCGCGUGAGGGAUGACGGCCUUCGGGUUGUAAACCUCUUUCAGCAGGGAAGAAGCGCAAGUGACGGUACCUGCAGAAGAAGCGCCGGCUAACUACGUGCCAGCAGCCGCGGUAAUACGUAGGGCGCAAGCGUUGUCCGGAAUUAUUGGGCGUAAAGAGCUCGUAGGCGGCUUGUCACGUCGGAUGUGAAAGCCCGGGGCUUAACCCCGGGUCUGCAUUCGAUACGGGCUAGCUAGAGUGUGGUAGGGGAGAUCGGAAUUCCUGGUGUAGCGGUGAAAUGCGCAGAUAUCAGGAGGAACACCGGUGGCGAAGGCGGAUCUCUGGGCCAUUACUGACGCUGAGGAGCGAAAGCGUGGGGAGCGAACAGGAUUAGAUACCCUGGUAGUCCACGCCGUAAACGUUGGGAACUAGGUG
rnacentral:rRNA from 1 species